rnacentral:rRNA from 1 species
UACGGAGGGUGCAAGCAUUAAUCGGAUUUAUUGGGCGUAAAGGGCGCGUAGGCGGAAAGAUAAGUCAGUUGUGAAAUCCCGGGGCUCAACCUCGGAACAGCAAUUGAAACUAUCAUUCUAGAGGAUAGAUGGAGAAAACGGAAUUCCACAAGUAGCGGUGAAAUGCGUAGAUAUGUGGAAGAACACCGGUGGCGAAGGCGGCCUGCUGGGCAGUUACUGACACUGAGCGCGACAGCGUGGGGAGCAAACAGG